GGGGGCAUAGCUCAGCUGGGAGAGCAGCAGACUGAAGCCGCGCCCAAAGCCAGGUUUGACUUCUGAAGGUCCCGCGUUCGAUCCGCGGUGCCCCCA